UGUUCCCAGUUAUGAUCCAUAACACCUGUUGAUACUCCGAACAGACGAAGAAUCUUCCAGAAAUGACAAUCUUUUGAAGGACACUGAUGGUAAAACAUGAAGAAAGGGUUAUUGUGAAAGAGUUACUGAAAACGAAUAUGUUUCUGAAGGUUUUCUCUCAUUUUCUCUUCAGUUUUAGGCUGUUAAUUUUGUGAUGCGAAAUCGAAAGUAUUUUUGAACCAAAGAUUUACAGUAAACAGGAAGAUGAAGCCUAACAUCCUGCUGAACGAUUGAUUGUUUUCUCAAACCAGUGCUGAUCAGAGGAGCGAGGAAAGGACUCUCUCUCUAAGAUGAGUCUCUCAGAGAAACACAGUGUAAGAUCAGGAUCACAUGUGUCCAGCUCUGUGUCUCUGAAGAGUGAUCAGUCAAAAGAAGGUGUAGAACCAGACUUCAGUGGGGAAAAACCAUCAUCUAAUAAAAGG